AUUCUUCUGUAGUUUAUAAGCCUGAUGAUUGGGUUUUCAUGUGCAUGUGUGAGAUGUGCCUCCCUCAAACCUUGUUACGACGUUGGCACAUUACCCAUCUGAUG
ensembl:snoRNA